AUUGAACGCUGGCGGCAGGCUUAACACAUGCAAGUCGAGCGGGGUGAUGGUGCUUGCACUAUCACUUAGCGGCGGACGGGUGAGUAAUGCUUAGGAAUCUGCCUAUUAGUGGGGGACAACAUCUCGAAAGGGAUGCUAAUACCGCAUACGUCCUACGGGAGAAAGCGGGGGAUCACUUGUGACCUUGCGCUAAUAGAUGAGCCUAAGUCGGAUUAGCUAGUUGGUGGGGUAAAGGCCUACCAAGGCGACGAUCUGUAGCGGGUCUGAGAGGAUGAUCCGCCACACUGGGACUGAGACACGGCCCAGACUCCUACGGGAGGCAGCAGUGGGGAAUAUUGGACAAUGGGGGGAACCCUGAUCCAGCCAUGCCGCGUGUGUGAAGAAGGCCUUAUGGUUGUAAAGCACUUUAAGCGAGGAGGAGGCUCUUUUGGUUAAUACCCAAGAUAAGUGGACGUUACUCGCAGAAUAAGCACCGGCUAACUCUGUGCCAGCCGCCGCAGUAA
rnacentral:rRNA from 1 species